rnacentral:rRNA from 1 species
UACGAAGGAUGCGAGCGUUAUCCGGAUUUAUUGGGUUUAAAGGGUGCGUAGGCGGUCUUAUAAGUCAGUGGUGAAAUCUUGUCGCUUAACGACAAACGUGCCAUUGAUACUGUAGGACUUGAGUACAGAUGCCGUUGGCGGAAUGUGUCAUGUAGCGGUGAAAUGCAUAGAUAUGACACAGAACACCGAUUGCGAAGGCAGCUGACGAAACUGUAAACUGACGCUGAUGCACGAAAGCGUGGGGAUCAAAACAGG